rnacentral:pre_miRNA from 1 species
GGGGGGAAGCCGGAUCUUGGGCUGUUUCCCGGCGCCCUGUGCUCCCUGUCUGUGCUGUUGGAUUCGUGCUACCGGCCCGCAGCCCCCU